GUCUGCGCUCCCGCCCCAGGUUUCCCGGCCCCUGCGCCGGGAUGAAACGGGAAGUCGGUGCCAGUCCGACGCUGCCCCCGCAACGGUGAUUGAGCGGAAACGGCCACCACGCCACUGUGCCCCGGCACGGGAAGGCGGCCGCUUCGGGGUCCCCACCACCCCGGCUCAUCAGCCCGGAGACCGGCCUGGGUGCGCCAUACCAC
rnacentral:ncRNA from 2 species